rnacentral:snRNA from 1 species
AUCGCUUCUCGGCUCUCUGAGCUAAGAUCAAAGUGUAGUAUCUGUUCUUAUCAGCUUAAUAUCUGAUACAGCCUCCAUAGGAGGCUCAGUAUAUUAAUCUAUUUUUUGGGACCAGGCGGGUGCUCGGAGCUUGCUCCGACCUUGCCACGGGUCGACCCUGCAUUGCAUUGCAGCAGGGUUCGGCCCAGCAAUU